ensembl:lncRNA
GUUCAAUUCAGUUUGAUUCAUGCAAAUACUUCUGUUUGCUCUAAAGAGAACUGAAAAUACUGUUUUCUCACAAGCAGUAAUUGGAUGGUAAUGCUAUUUCAUCAUUGAGCUCAGGAAGCUACAACAUCCCACAGUAAGAUUCAGAAAUGUUUCACAGAUCUGGCAUCAGACAUCUUUUGGACCAUUACUGCAGAGUGUGCUCCACUGUUGAGUAGAUUCAAAACAAGAUUCAAAAGCUGGUCAGCACAGCUGUCCUUUACUCACACAGUGCUCUCUAAUGGUUCUUUCAGAGCUGCUGCAACCUGCCAAGGAAUCCAGUUCAGCAGUCCAGCAGUCUUGCCAUUACCCGAGGAAGGUGGUGGUACCAUAGAAGCACUGUGCUGUUAGCACUACAGGCACCGUCACAGAAGGGGUUGACCUGCUGCCUCCCCAUGGACAGGGUAUGGCACCAUCCUCCUGCCCUUGUGACUCAGUGUAGAGUCUGGAUGAGAACACCAGUGAAAUUAGAGCACUGAGACAGAAGCAGGAAUUGACAGGAGGUUGAAGAUCACUAACACUACACUUUUCAGAUCAUUUAAAAGCACUGUUACUUGGAUUCUAUUUGCUUUACUUCCAGAACUUGCAAUGAAACCUUCGUCAUGCAGCCAGUCAUUUAUUCACAGCCUACCAGCAUCCCAUAAACUUUACUCUUCUCACUUCUUUACUUUGUGGAGUUUGAUAAUUUCUGUUUUUAAACACUAUCAUACACCUGUAGCCUGUGCUUCCCUCUAAGUUUAGCCCCACAGGUAGUGAGGUCUCCUUCUUCAAUGCAGUUUACCAUCAUCAGACAUGUCCUAGAUGGCUCUCUUAGACAUUCCCAGAUAAUUCUGAGAAGCUGACUGGCAAACACCCAGUCUUUUUGUUCUGUAACAAUCCUAUGUUAUCAAAGGUUUAUGAUGAACGUAUUUGCUUUCUAAACAAAAAACGAC